CUUAUUGUUGAUUACUUAAUCCCAAAAAUCAAGAACGGGACGAUGCCUCGAAGUCUGAUUAAAGUUGUUAAUAUUCAUAUCUUCACUUUAUAUGUUAAUCUGUUUCUUUCUUGAUAUGUCUUCUGAGAAAUAUAUAUUGUAUAAAUUUUAUUGGAUUUUUAGAUGGUUAGGGGUGGAUCGAGCUGAAGAGUGAUUAUUCUAUACACCAAGAGAUAGAGAAACUGAAAUUGAGAACAUUCGGAAUGGAACUGCUGUUGAUGGAUAUUGGCGAGUAAUAGGGGACGAUGAAAUUAUCGUUGAUAAUGAUGAAACUCGUGGAUUUUGAAAGACUUUAGAAUUCUACAAGGGAAACUCACCUUGAGGUGACAAGACUUCUUGGAUUGUGCAUGAUAUUAAUGCGAAUGAUGAUCAACAAAGUGUUGCAGAUGAUAGUAACUUAUUAAAUGUUUGCUUUGCAAGUUUUCGUAGUAUGUUGAUAAGACAUAUAAAUUAUGCAUAUGGUGGAUUUUUUUUCUUUCUUUUAGUUUGACGAUUGGAUUUGGUGUAUAAUAUUCCACGAGGAG
rnacentral:lncRNA from 1 species